UAGGGAAUCUUCCGCAAUGGACGAAAGUCUGACGGAGCAACGCCGCGUGAGUGAAGAAGGAUUUCGGUUCGUAAAACUCUGUUGUUAGGGAAGAAAAAAUGUAUAGUAACUAUAUACAAAAGAGACGGUACCUAACCAGAAAGCCACGGCUAACUACGUGCCAGCAGCCGCGGUAAUACGUAGGUGGCAAGCGUUGUCCGGAAUUAUUGGGCGUAAAGCGCGCGCAGGUGGUUUAGAAAGUCUGAUGUGAAAGCCCACGGCUCAACCGUGGAAGGUCAUUGGAAACUAAUAAACUUGAGUGCAGGAGAGAAAAGUGGAAUUCCUAGUGUAGCGGUGAAAUGCGUAGAGAUUAGGGGGAACACCGGUGGCGAAAGCGGCUUUUUGGCCUGCAACUGACCCUGGGGCGCGAAAGCGUGGGGAGCAAACAGG
rnacentral:rRNA from 1 species